rnacentral:rRNA from 1 species
UACAGGGGGUGCAAGCGUUACUCGGAUUUACUGGGCGUAAAGAGCGUGUAGGCGGUUUGUUAAGUCUGGUGUGAAAUCCCUGGGCUCAAUCCAGGAAGUGCAUUGGAUACUGACAGACUAGAGUACAGGAGGGGUGAGCGGAAUUCCCGGUGUAGAGGUGAAAUUCGUAGAUAUCGGGAGGAACAACAGAGGCGAAGGCGGCUCACUGGACUGUUACUGACGCUAAGGCGCGAAAGCGUGGGGAGCAAACAGG